AGCAGCCGCGGUAAUUCCAGCUCCAAUAGCGUAUAUUAAAGUUGUUGCAGUUAAAAAGCUCGUAGUUGAAUUUCGGGGUUAGUAGGUUGGUCAUGCCUUUGGUAUGUACUGGUCUCACUGAUUCCUCCUUCCUGAUGAGCCGUAAUGCCAUUAAUUUGGUGUUGCGGGGAAUUUGGACUGUUACUUUGAAAAAUUAGAGUGUUUAAAGACAAGCUAACGCUUGAAUACAUUAGCAUGGAAUAAUGAAAUAGGACGUUCGAUCCUAUUUUGUUGGUUUCUAGGAUUGACGUAAUGAUUAAUAGGGAUAGUUGGGGGCAUUAGUAUUCAAUUGUCGGAGGUGAAAUUCUUGGAUUUAUUGAAGACUAACUACUGCGAAAGCAUUUGCCAAGGAUGUUUUCAUUAAUCAAGAACGAAAGUUAGGGGAUCGAAGACGAUCAGAUACCGUCGUAGUCUUAACCAUAAACUAUGCCGACUAGGGAUCGGAUGAUGUUAAUUUUUAAUGACUCAUUCGGCGCCUUAC
rnacentral:rRNA from 1 species